UGGGGAAUUUUGGACAAUGGGGGAAACCCUGAUCCAGCCAUCCCGCGUGUGCGAUGAAGGCCUUCGGGUUGUAAAGCACUUUUGGCAGGAAAGAAACGUCAUGGGUUAAUACCCCGUGAAACUGACGGUACCUGCAGAAUAAGCACCGGCUAACUACGUGCCAGCAGCCGCGGUAAUACGUAGGGUGCAAGCGUUAAUCGGAAUUACUGGGCGUAAAGCGUGCGCAGGCGGUUCGGAAAGAAAGAUGUGAAAUCCCAGAGCUCAACUUUGGAACUGCAUUUGUAACUACCGGGCUAGAGUGUGUCAGAGGGGGAUGGAAUUCCGCGUGUAGCAGUGAAAUGCGUAGAUAUGCGGAGGAACACCGAUGGCGAAGGCAGCCUCCUGGGAUAACACUGACGCUCAUGCACGAAAGCGUGGGGAGCAAACAGG
rnacentral:rRNA from 1 species